rnacentral:rRNA from 1 species
GAUGAACGCUAGCGGCAGGCUUAAUACAUGCAAGUCGAGGGGCAGCAGGUCUGUAGCAAUACAGAUGCUGGCGACCGGCAAACGGGUGCGGAACACGUACAGAACCUUCCUUCGAGCGGGGAAUAGCCCAGAGAAAUUUGGAUUAAUACCUCAUAGUAUACUGAAGAGGCAUCUCUUUGGUAUUAAAGAUUUAUCACUUGAAGAUGGCUGUGCGGCUGAUUAGGUAGUUGGCGGGGUAACGGCCCACCAAGCCUGCGAUCAGUAACUGGUGUGAGAGCACGACCAGUCACACGGGCACUGAGACACGGGCCCGACUCCUACGGGAGGCAGCAGUAAGGAAUAUUGGUCAAUGGACGAAAGUCUGAACCAGCCAUGCCGCGUGAAGGAUGAAGGUCCUCCGGAUUGUAAACUUCUUUUAUAUGGGACGAAAAAGGGGCUUUCUAGCUCAACUGACGGUACCAUUUGAAUAAGCACCGGCUAACUCCGUGCCAGCCGCCGCCGUAA